rnacentral:rRNA from 1 species
GCGGCAGGCCUAACACAUGCAAGUCGAACGGUAACAGGAAGAAGCUUGCUUCUUUGCUGACGAGUGGCGGACGGGUGAGUAAUGUCUGGGAAACUGCCUGAUGGAGGGGGAUAACUACUGGAAACGGUAGCUAAUACCGCAUAACGUCUCAAGACCAAAGAGGGGGACCUUCGGGCCUCUUGCCAUCGGAUGUGCCCGGAUGGGAUUAGCUAGUAGGUGGGGUAACGGCUCGCCUAGGCGACGAUCCCUAUCUGGUCUGAGAGGAUGACCAGCCACACUGGAACUGAGACACGGUCCAGACUCCUACGGGAGGCAGCAGUGGGGAAUAUUGCACAAUGGGCGCAAGCCUGAUGCAGCCAUGCCGCGUGUAUGAAGAAGGCCUUCGGGUUGUAAAGUACUUUCAGCGGGGAGGAAGGGAGUAAAGUUAAUACCUUUGCUCAUUGACGUUACCCGCAGAAGAAGCACCGGCUAACUCCGUGCCAGCAGCC